CGUGGUAGCUCACGGCUGUAAUCCCAGCACUUUGGGAGGCCAAGGUGGGCGGAUUACUUGAGGCCAAGAGUUCAAGACCAGCCUGGCCAACAUGGUGAAACCCCAUCUCUAGAAAAAAAUACAAAAAUUAGCCAGGCAUGGUGGUGCAUGCCUGUAAUCCCAGCUACUCAGGAGGCUGAGGCAGAAGAAUUGCUCGAACCCAGAGGCAGAGGUUGCAGUGAGCCGAGUUCAUGCCACUGCACUCCAGCCUGGGCGACAGAGCAAUACUCUGUCUCAAAAAGAAAAAAAUAAAUAAACUUCAGCCUUUUCAUUUAAGAGUCUCAGUACAUGCUUACAAUCUAA
rnacentral:lncRNA from 1 species